CCUACGGGAGGCUGCAGUGAGGAAUAUUGGUCAAUGGACGAGAGUCUGAACCAGCCAAAUAGCGUGAAGGAUGACUGCCCUAUGGGUUGUAAACUUCUUUUAUAUGGGAAUAAAACGUUCCACGUGUGGGAUUUUGUAUGUACCAUAUGAAUAAGGAUCGGCUAACUCCGUGCCAGCAGCCGCGGUAAUACGGAGGAUCCGAGCGUUAUCCGGAUUUAUUGGGUUUAAAGGGAGCGUAGGUGGAUUGUUAAGUCAGUUGUGAAAGUUUGCGGCUCAACCGUAAAAUUGCAGUUGAAACUGGCAGUCUUGAGUACAGUAGAGGUGGGCGGAAUUCGUGGUGUAGCGGUGAAAUGCUUAGAUAUCACGAAGAACCCCGAUUGCGAAGGCAGUUCACUGGACUGCAACUGACACUGAGGCUCGAAAGUGUGGGUAUCAAACAGGAUUAGAUACCCGGGUAGUC
rnacentral:rRNA from 1 species